UACGUAGGGGGCAAGCGUUGUCCGGAAUUAUUGGGCGUAAAGAGCUCGUAGGCGGUUUGUCGCGUCUGCUGUGAAAACCUGGGGCUUAACCCCGGGCCUGCAGUGGGUACGGGCAGACUAGAGUGUGGUAGGGGAGACUGGAAUUCCUGGUGUAGCGGUGAAAUGCGCAGAUAUCAGGAGGAACACCGGUGGCGAAGGCGGGUCUCUGGGCCAUAACUGACGCUGAGGAGCGAAAGCGUGGGGAGCGAACAGG
rnacentral:rRNA from 1 species